CCUACGGGAGGCAGCAGUGGGGAAUAUUGGACAAUGGGCGAAAGCCUGAUCCAGCCAUGCCGCGUGUGUGAAGAAGGCCCUCGGGUUGUAAAGCACUUUCAGCGAGGAAGAACGCCUUGGGAUUAAUACUCCCGAGGAAAGACAUCACUCGCAGAAGAAGCACCGGCUAACUCCGUGCCAGCAGCCGCGGUAAU
rnacentral:rRNA from 1 species